AGAGUUUGAUCCUGGCUCAGAACGUACGCUGGCGGCACGCCUAACACAUGCAAGUCGAACGCAGUAGCAAUACUGAGUGGCAAACGGGUGAGUAUAAUGUGGGAAUCUGCCUUUUGGUUUGGAAUAACACGGGGAAACUUGUGCUAAUACCGAAUAAGCCCUUACGGGGAAAGUUUUAACGCCGAAAGAUGAGCCCGCACUUGAUUAGCUAGUUGGUAAGGUAAAAGCUUACCAAGGCAAUGAUCAAUAGCUGUUCUUAGAGGAAGACCAGCCACAUUGGGACUGAGACACGGCCCAGACUCCUACGGGAGGCAGCAGUGGGGAAUCUUGCACAAUGGGGGAAACCCUGAUGCAGCGAUGCCGCGUGAGUGAAGAAGGCCUUUGGGUUGUAAAACUCUUUCUUCGGGGAAGAAAAUGACUGUACCCGAAUAAGAAGGUCCGGCUAACUUCGUGCCA
rnacentral:rRNA from 1 species